UACUCGUGAUGUUUGCCUUAAACUGCAGAAUGUUUGGUUAUGCUCCUUCAAGGAAAAUGGUGUCCCUUCUGUCAUCUGCAAACUGCAUCGACCAUUUUGGCUUCCUGUUAUUGUUCUUGCUCAGGGCAAGCCCUCUGCACCUGCAAAAUAGAAACCCUCAGGCAGAACAAAGGAAGAAAAGAAAAAAGGUGGGCGGGGAGUUUCAGAGAGUGCUCGUGCCAGGCCAAUGUGCUGGGCCAAAAGAAAAAAAAAAGCUGUUCUUGGAGCCCCAGACUCCAUCCUCUAACUCCUCAAGCUGUUAAGACUAUGGCUUUCUGAUUGAGUUCCAGAUGCCUUCCACAGUGCAGACUGCAAAGUGCCCUCAGAUGGAGUUACAGUAGCCCCAUGAUGGAGAUUCUCAUGAAAAUGGAACCACUCACAAAUUCAUUUGCUUAUUAAACACUGUAAAGCCUACAAAAACCUGAAUAGCUUCUAACACCAGCUCAAUUCAAUUCAAUUUAGUUCUUACUCUAACUACCAGGAAGUAAGCCAGACUAAACAUUUUAAGUGCAAUUCUCCCCAAGAUUGCCCUUCAGACACCAGCUGCAAGUUUGGGGACUCAGGCUGACCACACUUCUGACCAACUGGCUACAAAUUUGAGGGUUCCCACCACCUCCCUUGGAUGCGAAAACUAAUUGGGAUGACUCACAGAACUCAUUGAAAUGUAGAAGGAGAUUUGAGACUGAUAGAAUAGAAGACACACAGAGAAAAGAAGGUCAUGUAAAGAUGGAGCAGAGGUUGAAGGGAAACAGCCACAAGCUCAGGAAUUACAGAGCAGUGACCAGCAUCUGGAUGAGACAGGGAAGAAUUCUACCCGAAACCUCCAGAGGAGGGGCGCCCGACAACACCUUGAUUUCAGACUGCUGCCUCCAGAACUGUG